rnacentral:rRNA from 1 species
AGAGUUUGAUCCUGGCUCAGGAUGAACGCUGGCGGCGUGCUUAACACAUGCAAGUCGAACGAACCUUCGGGUUAGUGGCGGACGGGUGAGUAACGCGUGAGAAUCUGCCCUCAGGAGGGGGAUAACGGCUGGAAACGGCCGCUAAUACCCCAUAUGCCGAGAGGUGAAAUGAAUUUCGCCUGAGGAUGAGCUCGCGUCUGAUUAGCUAGUUGGUGGGGUAAGAGCCUACCAAGGCUUCGAUCAGUAGCUGGUCUGAGAGGAUGAUCAGCCACACUGGGACUGAGACACGGCCCAGACUCCUACGGGAGGCAGCAGUGGGGAAUUUUCCGCAAUGGGCGAAAGCCUGACGGAGCAACGCCGCGUGAGGGAUGAAGGCCUCUGGGCUGUAAACCUCUUUUCUCAAGGAAGAAGAUCUGACGGUACUUGAGGAAUAAGCCACGGCUAAUUCCGUGCCAGCAGCCGCGGUAAUACGGGAGUGGCAAGCGUUAUCCGGAAUUAUUGGGCGUAAAGCGUCCGCAGGCGGCCUUGAAAGUCUGCUGUUAAAGCGUGGAGCUUAACUCCAUUUCAGCAGUGGAAACUACAAGGCUAGAGUGUGGUAGGGGCAGAGGGAAUUCCCGGUGUAGCGGUGAAAUGCGUAGAUAUCGGGAAGAACACCAGUGGCGAAGGCGCUCUGCUGGGCCAUAACUGACGCUCAUGGACGAAAGCCAGGGGAGCGAAAGGGAUUAGAUACCCCUGUAGUCCUGGCCGUAAACGAUGAACACUAGGUGUCGGGGGAAUCGACCCCUCCGGUGUCGUAGCCAACGCGUUAAGUGUUCCGCCUGGGGAGUACGCACGCAAGCGUGAAACUCAAAGGAAUUGACGGGGGCCCGCACAAGCGGUGGAGUAUGUGGUUUAAUUCGAUGCAACGCGAAGAACCUUACCAGGGUUUGACAUCCUGCGAAUCCCUUGGAAACGAGGGAGUGCCUUCGGGAGCGCAGUGACAGGUGGUGCAGGCUGUCGUCAGCUCGUGUCGUGAGAUGUUGGGUUAAGUCCCGCAACGAGCGCAACCCACGUCUUUAGUUGCCAGCAUUGAGUUGGGCACUCUAGAGAGACCGCCGGUGAUAAACCGGAGGAAGGUGUGGAUGACGUCAAGUCAUCAUGCCCCUUACAUCCUGGGCUACACACGUACUACAAUGCUACGGACAAAGGGCAGCAAACUCGCGAGAGCUAGCAAAUCCCAUAAACCGUGGCUCAGUUCAGAUCGUAGGCUGCAACUCGCCUACGUGAAGGAGGAAUCGCUAGUAAUCGCAGGUCAGCAUACUGCGGUGAAUACGUCCCCGGGCCUUGUACACACCGCCCGUCACACCAUGGGAGUUGGUCACGCCCGAAGUGGUUACCCUAACCGUAAGGAGG